ACAAAUACAUUUAAUUUUGCUUCUGUUCUAUCAGAAAACCGGAAGGAGUUAACCCAAGUGCUGUCAUCAUCAUAAAUACAGCUUGAAGAGGGAGGGAGCUAAGUCACUAAUCCGUUCUGAAUUCAGCCUGGCAGUGAAGAAAAAAAAGAGCAUGUGACCAAGAAGAAAACCACCGUGUAUAUCAAAACACACACGGAGGAAAUUAGGUUGAGAAUGAGAGAUGCUGAACAUAAAGAGAAUAAAGCAAGAGAAUAGAACUGGAGAUAAUAAAAAUAAACAGCAACAGCCAGAUUCAGAUGCUCUUUUCCUCAUUGGAGAUGACUUAACUGACACAGGCUGCCUCACUGGAAAGGAGCUUGAAGAGGACUGUGUAAAUCAUGAAACAAAGGGCGCACAGUUAACGCACGCCAGAGAUGACCAGUUGUGGAGCUACUUCAUGCUACAAAUCCCACCUGGUGGUGUGGCUGAGAAAGGAGAAAAAGAAAUCAGAACACUGCAGAAGCUCAUGUGGCUGUGCUCUGGAAAUGUAACUGGUGGAACAGAGUGUGGGCUGGCACACCAAUUUACCAGUUUAAUCUACACAUGCAGAAUAAGUACAAGAAGGCAUGUACCUUGGUGGAUUAUGCAUGUGUUUGAUGCACACCCAAAUCACAGAAUCACAGAAUAUCCUGAGUUGGAACGGACCCAUAAGGAUCAUCAAGUCCGACUCCUGGCACCGCACAGGUCUACCCAAAUGUUUAGACCAUGUGUGUAA
rnacentral:lncRNA from 1 species